CCGGCGGCUGCCGCAGUUACUGUCUGGGUGUAGCCGCGGCUCAGGCAGGACGGGCGGGCAGAAGUCGGGAGCUCGGGGUGGGGUGGGUGGGGGGCAACGCUCUUCUCUCCUUUAAGAGGCGAUUUCGUCGAAGGGCUGCAGCAGCCUGGUCGCUUAAAGAAUGUGAGGAACUGCCGAGCUGUAUUCUGACAUCACUGUGGGUAAACCAAUCUCAUUCAAAACGAGGACAAUGAUUCCUGGAUCAGGUAGCAAAUGUGAUAAUUUUGGCCCAGCAACUCUUCAGGAUAGAACUGUGCAUUCAGUCUGUCAAAGUCUUGAAGAUUCUUUUUAGUGAGAGUUGGUGGGGAGGCAAGAUGUUGGCAUAGCUGAUGAACUAAGAACCUGCUAUGCCAACAUAUUGCCCUCUUUCCUGUCUGUCUGCUGCAAACACCUCGUCAUGUUGGAUGCUCCUCAAACAAGCUUUCCUUUGUAUUAACUAACAUAUGUUUCAGUAUAGUGUAGCACUCUGGAACCAUACAAGCAAAAGACAAGCAAGAUUGUUGAUAUGAUUUGAGUACAGGGGUGUUUGUUAAUGGGGUCUCAAUUGUGUUGGAAACUGUGUCAAACUCUCAAAGAGGUGGGAUGAAAUGUUUUUAAACAAAUGCAUCAACAUAAAUCAUUUCUGGAAUUACCUGCUUUGUUUCUAUAACGAGAGAUGCCCUUGGAGGUAUAAUGCACUUAAUGCUCUUCUGUGGUGGUCUAAACUUUUGCCCC